GUAGGGGGCAAGCGUUAUCCGGAUUUACUGGGUGUAAAGGGAGCGUAGACGGCUUUGCAAGUCUGACGUGAAACUCCGGGGCUCAACUCCGGAACUGCGUUGGAAACUGUGAGGCUUGAGUGCCGGAGAGGUAAGCGGAAUUCCUAGUGUAGCGGUGAAAUGCGUAGAUAUUAGGAGGAACACCAGUGGCGAAGGCGGCUUACUGGACGGCAACUGACGUUGAGGCUCGAAAGCGUGGGUAGCAAACAGGAUUAGAUACCCUGGUAGUCCACGCUGUAAACGAUGAUUACUAGGUGUCGGGGCCGUAUAGGCUCCGGUGCCGCCGCUAACGCAGUAAGUAUUCCACCUGGGGAGU
rnacentral:rRNA from 1 species